ensembl:lncRNA
GCGGCGGCGGCUCCGGAGCGGCGUCGCUGGCCGGAGAUGGAGCCCUCGCCCGAACGGGUCCGGGCUCUCGCUCAUCCCCGCUGGCAGCGGCUCUUCCCUCGCUGUCCCUCUCUCUCCCGUCGCUCGAGGUGUCGUCCUCAAGCAGCCUUUAUUUCAACUGGAGUUCCGCUGUGCGGGGUUUGUGUGAGCCAGGAUUUUCUCACGUGUUGAGAGUUUUAGUGGUGCCUGCCUGCUGGCCGCUCCUGGAUUCUCCCUCUAAGGGAAGGCACGCUGCCCACAGGGACUCUGGGCAGGCGGAGAUGUCCUUCAGCAAGAAACAUUUUGGUUGCUUAUUCAACGAUGAGCGCUCAUGCGAUAACCGCGCCACUCUCCCAGCCUUGCUCAGUUAACAUCAGUGACAUCCGGACAUUGGCAGUCGCUGAGGGAGUCCCCGUUUUCCCGGGAGACAGCCGGCCCCGAGCCCUGGCCGUGGGCUGAAGGGGUUCUGCCCUGCUCGCUCCUUCGCUGCUCAGCGCUGGGAGGAGCUGAGCUGAAAAACCUCCGAGAAAACUCAUGGGGCGCCCUUACAGGUGGAGGAUAAAACGUGGAGAGCAGUAUUUAUGGGCGGCAAUUAGCACUGACCCAGAGGAAAAGCGGGCGAGGUCAGGGUCGCGCCCAGGGCUGGGGACACAAGACAGCCCCUGGGAGCGGGGUUCCUCUGGGGCAGGACCCUGGAAAGGAUCUCGAGAAAGAGCCUGAAUUCCCAGGGAGCUGGCCGAGCCCACGAGGCUUGCAGAGAUGAUGAGGAACACCCGCGCUGGGCCUGAAUCCCCCUUCUCUGCGGAUCCAUGCGGGUCCUGUCCCGGGGGUGAGGGAAGCCCCGCGUUGUCCCUCCUGGAAAAGCCGUGAGGAGUCCGGGCACGCCGGGAGCCCGGCUGGCCGAUCCCAUUGCUUUUUUCCCAUUUGCAAAAUUCAUUCCCCAGACACCAUUAGAGCUGCCGCUCGGGAGCAGAUGGUUCCCCUCCGUCCCGAGCUUCAUCCCGGACAGAUUGCAUACAAUUUAUUAAUAACCCAACAGAUGCUCGGGCAUUUUCCAGCUCAGAUUAUAUUUCCUGAUUGCUCAAAUCCCGGCGGGGGGGGAGCUGCUCGUUUAUCUUCCACCGUUCCUCUUUGUGCCUUACCAGCACCGACCCCACAAGGAGGGAAAGGGUGACAUCCUUGUGUGUGUGUCCCCGUGCUAAUUCAGGGUGUAAGUGUCUGAUAACUCAACGAGGCCUGAUGCCAGCCUUGGUUCGGGCGUGCCAGCCCCGUGCCCGGGAGAACCGCGGUUCUGUGCUGCCGGACCCGCCCCGCAUCCCCCCGGUGCUGCACGGACGGGGCCCUCCGGUGCUGCUGGUGCCCGGCUCGCCGGUGU